CUGUGUCAGACCACAUUUUGUUUGACUGCCCCUCUGCUGCCAUCUGCCACAUGGCCACAAAAUGGAACAGGAUAUUGGCAGGAAGGUUCAACCUCUACUGCCGUACCACCAACAUCCACAUCUGACGUUGCAGGCCAACAUAAUAAAAUAGAAGGCAUUACUUUUGGAGCAGCCCUUGUACCUGGGAAACAAACAGCUUAGGCAAAUUGUUGCACUUGUCAAUGAAGUAAAUCUGAAAUGCAUUGUUCCAACAACCAAGAAUGUUAUUCUGUCUCCCUUAGUGCAAAGGAAACCUAAAUCUUCUGAGAGCUGUCUGGAUACACUUCAAAAAUCAACCCAUAUCGUCAAGGAUAGAGGAGCUUUUAUGAGUGUUUCACUUAUGGCAGGCAAUUCACCGAUUACGUACAUGCAGAUCUGUUACAGCACUUAAUUUCUAAUGUCAAGUGAGAUCUGAUGAAUUGUUAGUCUUCGUUUUGUUGAUUUGUUCUACAGUCUCUUCUACUGGCACUUCAAUUUAUGUACAUCUAUAGGCAUGAAAUGUGUUUAAAAGGGGAAUGUUUUCCACUACCUGGAAAGAGACAAGCUCUGGAAGAGAGACUCUGGAUUUUAUCCACUCCAGCUGCCUGGUGGAGACAAGAAAAAUCAAAACAUUUGUACCGUAUCCCUUCUUAAGGGAGCUGCUUAGCUGAUUGAGUCUGGAUUCACCUCCUGUUUCCAGUGCUGGAGCACCUCUUCCAGAUGGCUGAUGAAUCAGAGCUCUUCAGUCUGAGCCAGGAACAGACUUGUGCUGCACCCAUGCCGAGAUUCUGGCGUGCAUUAAUGAUUUUGCCAUGGAAAGCGAGAAAACUUCCUGGAUCAACAAAUGAAGUAUUAAAAAGUAUAUGAAACAAGUCCAUCCACAAGUAUGGAUCAUCAGAGCAUCUGCUUUGCUGCAGAGAUGUUUCUAAUAGCUUCAGUGGAUCUUCAUGCACUUAGAAUACAACAAGCAUGGUGACUUGUAGGCUUGCUAGCUCUCCAGAUCGUUGAGCAACUCUGGUCUACGAUGGAAUGACGACACUUCUGGUCGUUAACUUUUGCCUAAAUGAAAACUCACCCAGUUUUUGCUGGUUUUCUGAUCCACGAAAAAACAUGACCAGCUUUGCCAGAAUUCUUGUAUGUGUUUUUCUUAGGCCCUGGAGAAAUUUAUUUAAAAUAAAUUAAUUGGUUCUUUUUGGUCUGCA
rnacentral:lncRNA from 1 species